GAUGAACGCUGGCGGCGUGCCUAAUACAUGCAAGUCGAGCGAACGGACGAGAAGCUUGCUUCUCUGAUGUUAGCGGCGGACGGGUGAGUAACACGUGGAUAUCCUACCUAUAAGACUGGGAUAACUUCGGGAAACCGGAGCUAAUACCGGAUAAUAUUUUGAACCGCAUGGUUCAAAAGUGAAAGACGGUCUUGCUGUCACUUAUAGAUGGAUCCGCGCUGCAUUAGCUAGUUGGUAAGGUAACGGCUUACCAAGGCAACGAUGCAUAGCCGACCUGAGAGGGGGGUCGCCCACACUGGAACUGAGACGCGGUCCAGACUCCUACGGGAGGCAGCAGUAUGGAAUCGUCUGCAAAGGGCGGAAGCCUGACGGAGCAACGCCGCGUGAGUGAUGGAAGUCUUCGGAUCGUAAUACUCUGUUAUUAGUGAAGAACAUAUUUGUAAGUAACUGUGCACAGCUUGACGGUACCUGAUCAGAAAGCCACGGCUAACUACGUG
rnacentral:rRNA from 1 species